rnacentral:lncRNA from 1 species
UCCAGGCUUCCGCUGAGCCCUGCUGUCUGUCUGGGUGAAUCCUCCCUUACAGUUAAGUUGCAGCAAAGCACAGCCCGACAGUUGCUUAUUUGCAUUUACAGUUAACGUUUUUUGAGUGGUUCCUGUAUGCCUGACAUUGUGGCGCGGACUUUCUAUACAUCAUCCCUGGUUUGGAAACUGAAUUUUUAAACAAAGCUGAGGCAGGAAAAUCACCCAAGCUUAGGUGUUGGACACCAGCAUGCCAGCUGCCCAGGAAGACUAUGCACUCGGGAAGAAGAAACAACGAGGCGUUCUGUACGCAAUUCAUGCAGCAGUGACGCGCCAGCCACCUGAUGACCAGGUGGGAAUUCACUGCGGGAAUUCACUGGUUACACAGAUGCCCACAUUUCUGACCACCAGGACACAGUGGGACCACCUGGAGGAGGGGGUUAGUGCCAAUCACCAGCAAGUCCACCACAAACAAGGGUGGAAAUGUAGAGCCAGUGCCCUAAGUUUUCUAUACCUUAUUUUCUUAUCUCUGAGAUGGGAACACUAUGUAUUACUAUUGAAACUAUCAGUGGUUCCGUGUUUUAUAUACCAGCCAAUGAGUAGUGUCUAACUACUAAGUUGGAUUUGUAUCUGCUUGGUACAUAGUCACUAAGCACUUAAGUGGUACUGUGGACUCUACUAGGCUCAGGGGAAUGAAAGAGAAAUGAAAAUCCACCUCAGGCCCCAGGACCUUUACAAUAGAGAAAACAAGGAUUUACUUUCAUAUUUAUUUACAGUUGUUUAUUUUAUGAGAUAUUCCACCAUGUCACAAUCACUACUAAGGCUUGUUGCAAAGAAUGUGUUCAUGCUGCUAAAAUAUUAAAGUCUGUACAUGCUUUUCAAUUUUUGCAAACUUGAAGAGUUUAAAUGCUAUGCAUGUUGCACCAUCACUGUACUGCUAUCACUUUCUCCUUUUUUCAACUUUAUUGAUAUAAAUUUACAUAUCAUGCAAUUAGCCUGAUACAUUUUCUUCAGUAGUGAAAAAGGUCAGGAGUUAGUUUUAGUCUAGGGAAGGAGUGUAGAACCCAGAGCUUUCCAUGCUGGUCUUGUAUCUUUACUUUAUAAUGCACUUUUAUGAAUGUCAAAUUAUUCAACUACAGGUGAUCUUUUCUGCGGGUGUUGGGGGGUGCACAAGAAAUCAGAGCCUGUCACUGCAGCUGCACACAAAGCAUCGUGAGUGUUGAGGCAAGAAAAAUACUAAUGGAAUCCUCUCAUCUCAUGGAGUGUGCUACAGAGUUUAGCGAUAUGCUCCUUUGUGGGAGCUUCCAAAGAGUAUGGAUGGAGACAAACAGAGAGAUCUAAUUUAUUGCAUAGAUAAAAGAAUGAAUUGCAACUAUCCACCACAUACACAAAGGGGAUCGGGGGUGGUUGGCGGGUUGCAAGGGCAGUGGCCUGCUGUCACCUAGUUCCUUUGCUCGGAGAGACUCCCUGGAAGAGGUGGGGCCUGGGGACGCUGUGAUUGAUGAGAGGGAAGAGUGUGCCAAGACCUGGGGCACAAGGAACUCCAGGCUGGGGAAAGAGGACACCGUUUUCCUGCCCAUGUAAUGUGCUUCAUUACAGAAAGACACAUUAGCAAUAAAAGAUUGUAGAGCAACAUUUUCUUUCUAUUCCGUGAACCAUUUUAUUCAAAAUGUGGAGAAACCAGAAACAUUAACCCACUCUGUUUGCUGCUUUAUCUUGCUCCCUUUCCUGUAAGAGUGGCUCAUUGUGGACAGCCACUCUCUGCCUGCACCCUGCCUCUGGAAAGGAGCCAACACAAAGAAGAGGAAAGUGAGAAAGGGGACGAUGAUCAAAGAGCUGCACAACACUGGCACUUGGUGGUGAGUGUGAACACAUGUUUGUGUGCCCGUUGUGUGUCAGUGUCUUGUGGCACUUGUAGAGCAAACAUGUGAGGAUGGAGAUUUUAGUCUAGACCUGGGCAAUCCAAGUUGGUAACCAU